rnacentral:lncRNA from 1 species
ACUGGCCUUCCCCACAGACCUUUGCCUCAGCAAUGAAGGUUUCUGGUUGUGUUAUUAUUCCUGCCUUGCCUGGUGGUGCCUGCCUUGCAUCCCUGGACCUUGCUGCCUUGAUAUAGCUGAUCUUUCUCUUCUAAUAUUUUUAUUUUCUCAAUUAUAUGGGAGUACCAGCUGUGAAAAAAAAAAGAAAGAUUCAUCCCAACAUAUGAAACAUCACAAACGAGACUGAAAGGGGCAAGGCAGCUAAGCACCAGCCAAACCAGAGGUGAAGUCUGAAACUGAAUCAACUGGAAAAAUAAGCUAAGUGAAAGUAAACACCGCUAGACUCUGAAGCAUCUACACAAUGAUCAGCCACACUUGGCUUAAACUGUAUCACAGCAUCAAGACAGACACACUUGUUGUGGAUGGGAAAUUAUCAUCCGUUUCUGAGGAGGUCUCCAAUUCAUGUCACAUCCCAGAGAGAUAAUCAGAGGGAAGCUUUCAUGUUUACCUAGAGACGGAAGAGAUCCAGCUUCUCAGGGUGAGCAAGGUAUUAAACUCUUUCUCUUCCCAAUCCAUUCAUACGGUAAUGUAAUGAAAAAUCAUUAAGAGUUGUAGAGAAAUCUGGAUUACUUGGAAGAAAAGAACUUCAGGAGUGCAAUUGUAAAAUAUUAAUUAUUAUCAUUAUGUACUCAAGUAGAUAAUACCAGCUUUAAAAAGGAAGAAGUGUGCUCUUUUUGACUUUCUAUGCUGACUUGUUUCUGAUCAUUGUCGUCUUAGCCACAGCCCAUUUUUAAAAAAUGGA